CAUAUUCCUAUUUGAAUUUGGAAGGUCAGGUGGCGCUGUUUGCGUAAUCUUUGCCACUUUAAGACUGAAAUUGAAGCCAGUAACAAAUGAUAUAAGAAAACACAAAAGAAGCAAACAUUUCAUGCGAAUGAAGAGAAAUACAAAAUAAAAUGAAUGAAUAAAGAGUGCUUUAUAUAAAUUGUUUUAAGAAGAAAAUAGAAAUUACAUGAAUUCUUGAUAGUGUGGGUAAUAUUUGUGAACACUGGUAAGCGCUUAUUGUAUAUGAUGCAGUAAAAUCAUUCGAGGUGGUUGUAACAUUUAAAUUUUAAUUGAAGGAAAAUGCAUAUAAUCUUCUAUGUGACCACAAAAGUUUAUAUUACUUUAAAAAUGGUGGGGUUAAAUUUACAAACCUGACUGACAAUAAAUUAUAGUUUUCAUAUUUAUCAUAUUUUACAG
rnacentral:lncRNA from 1 species